GCAAGAGGAUGACUACAGUUUUGCCCGAGAGCUUAGAGACCGAGAACAGAGGCUGCAGGCCCUCGAGGAGCAGCUGGAGCGCAGGGCACGCAUGGACCUGAUCGCGCAAUACAGUCGUCUGUCUGAGGAGGCAGCUAAGAAAGAGCGGAGGGCACUGUGGAAAGUACAAGAGGUUGAGACUACAUGAAGCCCGAGUAAACUUCCUAGAGCAGGACCAACACACCAUACAGGUUCUGCUUGUGAGACAUGCUUUAGGACAGGAAUGCCCUAGUCAGGAUCCAGAUCUUACAAAGAAAGCACCUCAGGAUCAGCAGGAAUCCCACACUCCUGAGAUACAAAUGAAAAAUCUGACCAUGGAGCAAAAGCUCACUGCUCUUUCUGAUUCAACUCUGCCUCCUCCUUGCCCUCCUGCAGUUCUCCCCCCAUCCACCAGGAACUUUGAUGCUCUGAUCUCUGAUCAAAAUGACAUUACAGACUUCCUCAUGAAACGU
ensembl:lncRNA